rnacentral:lncRNA from 1 species
UUUUUUCUCAUUGUGGGCCUGGAAAACUCCUUGCAGAGGCGGUCAGUGCUAAUUGGUGGUGUUUAAGCUCAGUGAGUGGCCAGCUGUGGUGAGAGGCAGCUCAGUAUAUCUCCUUCACCUGCAGUUAGGGAUUGAACUAUGAAGAAACAGCAUUGGAGUUAGCUGAGCAAUUCCAGGCUUUGGGAAGCUGCUGAAGGAGAAGCAGGAAGAGUGAGAGGCAAGAGGAGCGGUAAGGAAGGAGCAGGAGUGUGCUGAAGCUGUGCCUCACUGAUACUGUGAUCAGCUGCAUUUGGCUUGGCACUUCUGAGAAUCAUUAACUUCAGCAGGGCACCAGGGAAACUCAUCCUGUUUGGGAUCAUGAAGAUGGAAUCAGGUGCACGCAGAAAAUGCUGCUCAUUUCCCUCCUCCUGCGCUUCUGAGAACAGUUUUUGAGCUCAUGGCUCUUGCUAACUGUCACUUUGCUCUCCUGUCAGAAAAGAGUUUGUGGAGCAGUCUUGGCUGAGGAGACUUUA